AAGCAAGGAAUUUGCAGAUACCAUAGUCGAUGUGUUCAGCCGGCUGGAAAGGUGGCGCGGAGAAAGGGUUCCUGGUCAACAAACACCAUCCUCAUACACUUCGGGGAGCAAAACCGUUCUUCUCUGGCUAGACUCCACACUGUCGUCACAUGAAUGCACUCAGCUUCUACAAUUCUUUCCAGGUACUUUUACAGAAGAGCUUUUGCAUAUGAUGGAUGUCAAAGAGGACCAGGAACUACAAAGACUCGCCUACCACGUCUUCCGUCACCUUUCGAAUAUUCCCCAUCCUGCUGGAGAUGACUCCGAGUUUGUGGAAUCUUUGAUUCGUAUUGGGCUUACGUCUUCUUCGUGGCAUCAACGACUUCGCGUCAUGAUCAACAUCCAAAUUAUGUAUUUCCGCCGUCUUUUCUUGCUGUCCAAAAUUGAUCGUGAGAAGCUAUUCGAUUGCAUCGCCUGUAUGCUCGAGGAUACCCAACCUGAAGUCCGGGCUGGAGCUUCUGCAACGCUCUCUGGCAUGAUCCGCUGCUCUCCUGCGUCAUUACGUAACGAUAUGGUUCUCAAAUUACGCGACAGGUUCACAAAAGCGCUUACUGACAAUCCACUCGCGAAGAAAUCUCGUCAUCAUGGUUCCGGUGUGUCCUCAGGUGUUUCCACAGGCGCCAGCACUCCAAACCCUGAGCAUACCCGACUUGUUCUCACAAGACAUGCUGCAGUCCUUGGAUUAGGUGCCCUCAUACAGGCUUUCCCCUACACUAGCCCUCCGCCACAGUGGAUGCCCGACGUUUUAAUCACACUGAGCCACAAAGCCGCAGGUGAUCCAGGCAUUGUGGGGCAAAGCGUGAAGUCCAUAAUUAGUGAUUUCAAGAAAACAAGACAAGACACCUGGCAUAUCGAUGUCAAGGCUUUUAAACCGGACCAAGUUGAAGACCUCGCAGGGGUUCUAUGGAAGAGCUAUUUCGCGUAGGCUAUACCAUACAGAGCUCUCCUAAAUCCUUUCUCAUUAAUUGCCAAUCUGGCUCUGUCUCUUAUGCCGUAUAAAAAUAUUGGACACUUGGACACUUUCUUUCAUCCCUCCCUGGCACGGUUUGGCGUUUGAGAAUUGAUAAAUGGAACUACACUUGUAGCCGGUCAGGAAUCAGGGUUCGCUGGGGUUUUAUCAUUCCGAUAUGCUUCUAUGCAUGCACUUAUAGCUUGCAUUCAAAAUUUCCCUUGGGUAUCUUAUCUUCCUGCACUAGAUCUAUACAUCAUCCUUAAUCUCGCCCGUUCUCCAUUUCUCUAGUAAUUUUAAUUAUGAGCCGGAGGAUUCCUGUUGUGGGAGAAACAUUUCCCUAGUUUAAUAUGUUCAUAUUGUAUGGGCACAGGUAAUUUGAAUUGUAUAAUAAAGACUAUGUACAGAGUAAUGCAUAACGAGACCUUCUCAGGUCGCCUUUUGUUUCCUUGGC
rnacentral:sRNA from 1 species